UGCAUUUUCUUUCCUUAAUUUUCUAGGGAAAAUUGCAGUUUAGUGAGCGGGAGUGGUGCUAGAUUGGUGAUCGUGUUAUAUGAGGAAGUAGUUUUUCGUAUUUUCGUGUUUUAUUUGAAAUUCUUUUAUUUAUCGUGACCGGACUAGUCGUAAUUUUAAUAGUUAAGUUUUAAAUAUGUGCCCGUUUGAAAUCUAGAUACAAUGUUUCGCUGUAUACCGAUAUUUAAGGGUUGCAACAGGCAAGUGGAGUUUGUUGAUAAAAGACACAGUUCUCUUGUAAAUGUGCCCGAGGAUAUAUUACGUUAUUCGAGGAGUUUAGAGGAACUUUUACUAGACGCCAACCAUAUCAGAGAUCUUCCCAAGAACUUCUUUCGACUCCAAAGGCUUAGGAAGUUAAGUUUAAGUGACAAUGAAAUUCAAAGGCUACCCUCUGACAUACAACACUUUGAACAUUUAGUUGAAUUGGAUGUAUCAAGAAAUGACAUUCCCGAGAUCCCAGAGGCGAUUGGACACCUACAGGCCCUACGGGUGGCCGAUUUCAGCUCGAACCCGAUCGCCCGACUACCGGUCACGUUUCCCCAACUGAAAUCGCUGACCACCCUCGGUUUGAACGACAUGUCGCUGACCAGCUUACCGGCGGAUUUCGGACAGCUCACCUCCCUUACUUCCCUGGAGCUUCGUGAAAAUUUACUUAAGGAGCUGCCCCCCUCCUUCAGUCUACUCGUGAACUUAGAGCGGCUAGAUUUGGGUGAUAAUGAAAUUGAUGAACUGCCACCUCAUAUAGGAAAACUGCCUGCUUUACAAGAACUAUGGCUGGACCAUAACCAAUUGCAAUCACUUCCCUCCGAAAUUGGACAACUACACAACCUGAGCUGUUUAGAUUUAAGCGAGAAUCGACUGGAAUUUUUACCUGAAGACAUUGCCGGAUUAGAAAGUUUAACGGACCUGCACUUAUCGCAGAAUGUAUUGGAAACGUUGCCGGACGGUAUCGGCAAGUUAGAAAAGCUCACCAUACUUAAGGUCGACCAAAAUAGACUUACCUCAUUAAACACACACAUAGGCUGCUGUCAUAACCUGCAGGAACUGAUAUUGACAGAAAAUUUUCUUAGCGAAUUGCCUACGGAGAUAGGCAAACUUACUAAGUUAACUAACUUAAAUGUAGAUAGGAAUAGUUUAACUAGUAUACCUGAAGAAAUAGGUAAAUUACGUGAAUUAGGAGUAUUAAGUUUGCGAGAUAAUAGACUGACUUCGUUGCCCGAUACGUUGGGCAACUGCAUUAGAUUGCACGUCUUAGACGUAUCUGGAAACAGGCUUCCGUAUUUGCCUGACACGUUGUUGCAGCUUUCUCUUAAGGCUGUUUGGUUGAGUGACAACCAAGCUCAACCGUUACUAACGUUCCAGACUGAUACUGAUCCAGACACAGGUAAAACAGUGCUCACUUGUUUCCUUCUACCUCAGCAAGAAUAUCAACCGACCAUAACUUUGGCCGAUGGUCGUUUGUACCGUUGCGAUUUGAAUACCGGUCUGAGUAAUGGCACUUUGUCUCGACUCACAGCCUCGACCAAGGACGACGUAUCGGACGAUUGGCAGGAACAGGAGGCGAGCAGGACGCACAGCGUCAAGUUCACCGACAACCAGGACCAGGAGAAUAAGGAGACACCUUUCGUGCGUCAAAACACCCCGCACCCGAGGGAACUAAAAGCGAAAGCUCACAAAUUAUUCGGCAAAGGACAGUUAAACAAUUCUUUAGAAUAUUCGGAUACGCGGAUAACGGACGGCUCAACCGAAAACAAUAAAUUAAAUGAAUCAGUGAAAGUACCGAACGAAGCGGUCAAUCAGCAUGUACAGCACGUUGCUGUCCAACCGCAGCAACCGAUUUCCGGGGCAGAUGCAAAAAUAAUCAGCAACCCGAUAGUUGCUGACUUGCUGCCGAAAUCGGAUGAAGAUCGUUCGCCUUCGGUGGCUUACAACCAUGACGACAGCGAUCCUAGUCAGGAUGAUGAAUUAGACGAGGAGUUCCUCAGACGUCGAGUUGGAUUCGUCUCAUCCGACGGCGACAGUGACAGUCAGAAGAAUGCCGAUAAACAGUCGAAAUUGCACAGGCGUGAUACACCGCAUCAUUUGAAAAACAAAAGGGUGACAACGCCGGUGGACAAAGAUAAGGUGGCCAGUAUCAUCGCACAGGCUAUCAAGCGAAGAGAUGAAACCAGCGAAUCGGAUCAUCUGAGUGUCUCUACCAAUCCAGAAUCAGCCGGAGACCAUAGUUCUACUAGCAGUCAAGCGGGUGAUUCAGCAAACAGCGAUCCAACAGUUGAAGUACGUGAAGAGAAGUUCAAUAUACGAAUCGAGCGUUCCAAUGCCGGUUUGGGUCUGUCCAUUGCAGGCGGUCGAGGCUCGACACCGUUCAAAGGAGAUGACGAGGGAAUUUUCAUAUCCAGAGUAACCGAAGGGGGUCCGGCUGACUUGUCUGGUCUAAAAGUAUCCGAUAAAGUCUUGAAAGUUAACGGAAUCGAUGUUAGUGAUGUGUCUCACUACGAGGCCGUCGAGAUUUUGAAAGCUUCUGGUCAAGUAUUAGAACUAGAGAUUAUUAGGGAAAUAGCCAGGCUAAUAAAAAACAAGCCAUCAGAAGUAACAAGCAUUGCAAGCUCCGAUCAAAGCAUUAAUACCCCAAAUCAAAAUAGUACUUUAUCGAAAAAACCGGAGACUUACCACAUUACGCCGCCACCGCCAUUGCCCCCAAUAAAUAACAACGUGGAAACGAAGAAGAUCCUGGUGCACACGACCCUUAUAAGAGAUUCGAGGGGUUUAGGCUUUAGCAUUGCAGGGGGUAAAGGAAGUCAACCAUUCAAGGCCGACUCUGACGCGAUUUACAUUUCGAGAAUAACAGAGGGAGGUGUGGCGGAUAAAGAUGGAAAAAUCGCUUUGGGCGAUCGUGUGGUUUCGAUCAACGGCGUCGAUCUGAGCGACGCCUCGCACCAACAGGCGGUGAAUCUUCUCACCGGUUUGGAGCGGUUCGUUAGGCUCGUGGUGGAACGCGAGAUUUCCAUAGAUGAUCCAGCACCACCGGGCGCAUCUCCAUCCCCUGGUCCCCACCAAAGCCCGAAACUGUUCGGUUUACCUAAACCGUACACAGGAUUUUACAGUUCGAAUAGUUAUAUGGCCAAUCGCCCAUUUAGUAGCUCGUACAGGAGAUCCAUGGAGAGCGAUUUAAGUAAAAAAAGCGAAUCUCCCGAACCAAAAAGCAAUAAGACCACCCCGGAAACCACACCGACAUCGGCCACCCGAGAUCCGCCAAAAGAACUGCCAAAAUCGAAUGGACUCGGCCAUAACCACGUGACAACACCGUUGACUUAUACGGCAACUGCCACCCCCCAAAAUUACGACGCCCCAAAACCAGCGCCGCGACGUCUAAACAGUACGGAGAACAACUUACCGAAACCGCCUACGCCGCCCCCGCAAGCUCGACCCUCGCCGACCACGACCAAUAAUAACCAUAAGAAAGCGACCCCGACCGCGUCGAUCGAGAGCGACGAUCAGGUACUGCCACGACCAAUCACGAACGAAGAGUUUCAAGCCAUGAUCCCGCCACACUUCCUACCCCCCGAAUCCCGUAAAAAACCAAAAACCUCCGAAAGUGAUCCCGAACCGUCGAUUAAUAAUGGAAACGCGACCGCGUCGGUUACGACGGUGACGAUCCGGAAACCGGAUACGAUCGAACUUCCUCCCGCGCCUACCGGUCCCGGUCGUGUGACCGAAACGAUCACGAAAAGCACCUUCACCGAAACGGUCGUCACCCGAGUCACGGACAAUAAGUUGAUGACGUCGCUGAUCAUUGAGGAUGUUACCCUGUCCAAGGAGGGAGGCUCGUUGGGCUUCAGCAUUAUAGGUGGUACCGAUCAUUCCAGCAUACCAUUUGGCGAUAAAGAACCUGGAAUAUUUAUUUCACAUAUGGUUCCUGGAGGUACGGCAGCCAAUUCGGGAAAACUGCGAGUUGGAGACAGAAUAUUGAAAGUAAACGGCGAAGACAUCACCAACUUUAGUCAUGAAGAUGCGGUUAUGGCACUGUUACGACCAGGAGAUAAUAUAACGCUAACGGUGCGACACGAUCCCUUGCCCGAAGGAUAUCAGGAAUUAAUAAUUGAAAAGGGAGAUAGCGAAAGACUGGGCAUGCACAUUAAAGGCGGAUUGCAGGGGCAGAAAGGAAACCCCUUGGAUCGUUCCGACGAAGGAGUUUUCAUAUCGAAAAUUAACACAGUUGGAGCGGCACGAAGAGAUGGGCGUUUAAAAGCAGGAAUGCGAUUGAUAGAAGUCAAUGGCAGAUCGCUCCUGGGAGCAACCCACGCGGAAGCGGUUACAAUUCUUAGGCAAUGCGGUAGUAAGAUCCACAUGAUCGUUUGUCGUGGAUACGAAAAGUCCGACAUUGAUAAAGCAAUAGCGGAAGGUCGUUUGACGAGAGGAGGGUCGGUCAGUAGCCGGUCGCAGAGUGUCAGCAGCUUGGACGUUCCCGAUGAUGAUAUUUAUCAGCUUGAAAAAGAUGACGUCGAAAAGAGGCUUCAACCCCUUCACCAGUCAGAUGAUGAUCUUACGCUGGUGGAGGCCAAGCCACCCACCCCUGCAGAAAAGGUAUUGGAUGUAGUGCAUGCAGUCGAGACGUUAGCGAAAGGACCGCAAGAAAAUAACGCCCAACCCCCGAAGUCUCCAGAACUGAAAACUACCACGAUAGUCAUGAGCAAACAUACGUUGGCACCUCAGACGACUGAAUACGCCGCAACUCUUCCGAAACCUUCGAAAGCCAACUCUGAUGUAAUCGGUGGAACCUUGCCAGCUAAAACGCGAUCCAUAUCAACCGAAUCCCUUGAUGAAUUGUUACAGGAGAGUCCUAAAGUGAGAGUAAACAGAUCUCAAAGUGUCGACGUACUUUCUAGUAUGCCUCCCGAGGAUCAGGACAGUUUGGUUGCCUCGUUUGAUAUCAGCGAUGUUCCUUCGCCGGUGGUGUUACCGCCACCACCCGAUUUUGAUCCUAUUGAACCAAAUAAAACUCAAACUUCAGUUACUACUACAAAUUUAACUUAUUCUCUAGCGAACGCUGCUAAUAGCAACCACUAUCCUUGGCACUUAGUGCAACAACCGCCCACGAUCAAUGUCUACAACCAUUUUCCUGCUCCUAAUCUUUUUGCAGCACAAUAUGGGUUGCCACAAGUAAACACUUUCAGCCCCCAAGACUCUCCAGGCAACUUCAACAAUCCCGCUCCUACUUUAUACACUGAGAUGCUAAUGUCUCCUCCAGUUAAACAGCACUUUUCAACCUUCGAAAACGACUUACCGGUGUCUCCUCCCCCUCCCGAGGUGACACCACUAUUACUUGACGAUGAUAUACUCAAAGUACCUCGUCCUCCACCCAUUGACUCAAACAAAAUUUCUCCUGUUGAAGAUCAACCUCCACCUCUUCCAAAAACACCUCCACCUCCUCUAUCACCAAUUUCCCCGAGGCGCAGGCGUAUAAUAAUAAAACCGACAACUAAACCUCCUCCUGUACCGGUCAAACCGACCAAACUGAGGACGUUUCACAGUGAAGAAACGUUGCUCAAUUGCGAUCCUGACUUUUUUCAAUUUUCGAGUGUCGAGGAGAUUACACGCCCCAUAUCGAUCGCUAUUGAUAAUGAUUUUGGACUUGGCACUAAGGAUACGCUGUAUAAGAAAUUUAGUAAGCCGCCCCAGAGCCCCACUCACCAAACGGUUAAACAAUCAGUCAGCGACAGAAAGAAGUUCUUUGAAGCAGCAAUGGAAGAGAGCCAGAGACCUGCUAAAAAAGAAAAAGUGUUUAGCUAUUUAAGUCCCGACGAAAUCGAGAAGUUAAAGGCCGAGGAAGAUCGAAAAAUCUCGAGUUUGUCCACAGCAGAAAUUAGCUCAUUGCAGGCUUUAAGUCAUUCGGAUAACGAAUCACUAGAAUCUCAACCCACAAGCCGUCCGUCAAGCACUAUAGGUAUAGUGAGGACCGCGAAGGCGGAACGAAGGUUACGCGAUAAGAUGCGCGAGGAGGGCCUCCUCACUGACGAAGACGAAUCCGGUCUGUCGCCAGCCGAAGCGAGGGCCCUCAGGGCCGAAAAAAAAGCGGCAUGGAGAGCGGCCAGAUUAAAAUCAUUAGAACAAGACGCCAUCCAAGCCCAGAUGGUUAUCAAAUCGAUGACCGAUAUGGUCGCAGCCGGAGAAAUUCCGAUUCCUACAACCGACGGCAGCGCUGAGUUACCGGGCGUCCAAGUCGACCUUAAAACUAACAGCAUGCAGUCGCCCCCACUACUACUGCCGAUGCCCGACGACGACGAAGAGACCGCAACCCUACGUCCGUCCUCUGCCGAUUUUCCGCGACUGACCCUACGUGAAAAACCAGUUGCGGCACGUACGGUGCGAGAGAGCGAGAAGGUACUCGGCAAGACAGAGAAAACGAAACAGGAAGAGUACGUGGACGAGUUAACGGGCGAGCGGAAAGUACGCACGCUCGUCGUCGUGGAGACCCUGAUAGAGCGAGAGGUACAACAACAAUAGCGCAGGGUCGUCAAGUGCGGUUGCAUGACUUUGCUCUCUCUCUCACACACUCUCUUUCUUCUUAGCGUUGACUGGUCGAGACGUUGGAAGAAAAAAUCUUAUCGCUAGAAUUAACGAAACCGGACGAGAAGCGGGAUAGUUCAAAGGAGGAUGACGAUUCGGCCAAUCAGGGACAAGCCGAAGACUACGACACGGAAACGACCGAACCGCCAACUCCCACCGC
rnacentral:misc_RNA from 1 species